rnacentral:rRNA from 1 species
UACGGAGGGUGCGAGCGUUGUCCGGAAUCACUGGGCGUAAAGGGCGCGUAGGCGGCCGAUCAAGUCGGGGGUGAAAGCCUGUGGCUCAACCACAGAAUUGCCUUCGAUACUGUUUGGCUUGAGACCGGAAGAGGUUAGUGGAACUGCGAGUGUAGAGGUGAAAUUCGUAGAUAUUCGCAAGAACACCAGUGGCGAAGGCGGCUGACUGGUCCGGUUCUGACGCUGAGGCGCGAAAGCGUGGGGAGCAAACA